rnacentral:siRNA from 1 species
UCGAGUGUUUGGUGAGCUUGA